UUGCAAGCUUCUGAUCUCAAAAGACCAGUAAUGCAUCCUCAUCUAUGUUAGCAAGUUUCUGAUUCUUGAAUUUCUGGAUCAAGUAGGGCUUAAACAACUCAUAUCUCUCGAAAAAGAUGGAAAUUAUUUGUUGUAAAAGGCUCUGUUCCUUGGCAACCUUGGAGACCUAAGAAGACCCAGGAAACAGGGCCUUUGAUCACAGGAAGUUUUUACUUCUAACAUCAUUGGGUAAUUUAUUUUUUAAGAAAUUCACAUGACUUGACCAUAUAAUCAUGCUUUUCUAUCAUGAAAUUUGUUGGCUACAGAUAACCCAUCUAAAAAAAGUGAUAACCACAAAGAGCAAAGGGAAGAGCUGGGAUUAGGAGGUAAACCUAGAGGACAU
rnacentral:misc_RNA from 1 species